rnacentral:rRNA from 1 species
AUUGAACGCUGGCGGCAGGCUUAACACAUGCAAGUCGAGCGGAGAUGAGGUGCUUGCACCUUAUCUUAGCGGCGGACGGGUGAGUAAUGCUUAGGAAUCUGCCUAUUAGUGGGGGACAACAUUCCGAAAGGAAUGCUAAUACCGCAUACGUCCUACGGGAGAAAGCAGGGGAUCUUCGGACCUUGCGCUAAUAGAUGAGCCUAAGUCGGAUUAGCUAGUUGGUGGGGUAAGGGCCUACCAAGGCGACGAUCUGUAGCGGGUCUGAGAGGAUGGUCCGCCAAACUGGGACUGAGACACGGCCCAGACUCCUUCGGGAGGCAGCAGUGGGGAAUAUUGGACAAUGGGGGAAACCCUGAUCCAGCCAUGCCGCGUGUGUGAAGAAGGCCUUAUGGUUGUAAAGCACUUUAAGCGAGGAGGGGGCUACUGAGACUAAUACUCUUGGAUAGUGGACGUUACUCGCAGAAUAAGCACCGGCUAACUCUGUGCCAGCAGCCGCCGUAA